rnacentral:lncRNA from 1 species
GUGUGCCGCACGGGCAGUCAGCUCGGUGCCUGCCCUCCUGGAGACUGCUGGGGACACAGGCAGUGGUGUGAGCAAGUAUCUUAAACUACAACGAGUGUUACAACCAGGGACAUAUACACAGGGCCAGAGGCACCAAGAAGGACACCCACCCUCGCCCAGACAAACAGGAAGAUCUCCGUGAGCACCUGGGAGAUGGUGGCAGAUCCAGUGAGCUCUCUGGCUCUUCACCAGAGGCAGGAUGAAGGACACUGGUGCUGGGGCCACCAGCUUCCUUUCUUACCCUCAUUUCCAUCUGAUUCCCCCCCCCUUUUUU